UACACAACAAGGUCGCGAUCGACGCGACA
rnacentral:sRNA from 1 species